GAUGAACGCUAGCGGCAGGCCUAAUACAUGCAAGUCGAACGGGGCCUGGCAGCAAUGCCAGGUUCAGUGGCGCACGGGUGCGUAACGCGUAUGCAACCUACCUUAAACUGGGGGAUAGCCCGGGGAAACCCGGAUUAAUACCGCAUAAGAUCACACGAGGGCAUCUGAGAGUGAUUAAAGAUUUAUUGGUUUAAGAUGGGCAUGCGUGCCAUUAGCUAGUUGGUAGGGUAACGGCCUACCAAGGCUACGAUGGCUAGGGGUUCUGAGAGGAUGAUCCCCCACACUGGUACUGAGAUACGGGCCAGACUCCUACGGGAGGCAGCAGUAGGGAAUAUUGGGCAAUGGACGCAAGUCUGACCCAGCCAUGCCGCGUGCAGGAAGAAGGCCUUCUGGGUUGUAAACUGCUUUUAUCUGGGAAGAAACGCCCAUGCGUGGGAAACUGACGGUACCAGAUGAAUAAGCACCGGCUAACUCCGUGCCAGCAGCCGCGGUAAUAC
rnacentral:rRNA from 1 species